rnacentral:lncRNA from 1 species
CAUGACCGCAGCAGGAGGGAGGAGCCAACGGUGCCACGUGGUUCCCAAAUGCCAAGCAUAGCCUGAGAGAGGAGGAAACAGGAGAGAAGGGGAGGCCGGGGGGCCGCUUGGUGCCCAAGAUUUCUCAGACGUCCCAGAGCCCUGACUCUGCUGCCAGCUUGCUUUACAGUGAGGCCAAGGAAGGAGCCACGGAGGGUGUGCUGGCCCUAGGAGCAGGAUUCCUGUGUGUUCACUAAGCUUGCAGCAUCAAGAAGCCACCAGCCAGCAUGGACAUGAGGGAAAACAAAACACUCAUGGGAAGAAGCGGGACCAGGCUCCAGCCGCAAAGUCGCCCUUCAUGCUUCACGCAAGAAAAAGGCCUCAGAGGGAGCUGUGAGGACAUGAUCAAAUCACUGUGCCAGCUGGUCACCAGGGGGCCACCACUCCAAGGAACCCUGAAGAUGGUGGACAGGAAUUAGGAAGUGUUGAACCGUCUUAGAUGGAAUGCUGUUCAUAUGAAAGCAAGACGCUCUAUCCUAGAAUUGCUUUUAUCAUUUGGUUCUAUUGCCACUUUUCGAAAAUUGUGUGACGUGAAGCAUGCAGAAAUAAAAAGAAGUAACACAGAAAUUCUCAGGUCCAUCAGC